UACGGGGGGGGUAAGCGUUGUUCGGAAUUACUGGGCGUAAAGGGCUCGUAGGCGGCCAACUAAGUCGGACGUGAAAUCCCUCAGCUUAACUGGGGAACUGCGUCCGAUACUGGAUGGCUUGGAUUUGGGAGAGGGAUGCGGAAUUCCUGGUGUAGCGGUGAAAUGCGCAGAUAUCAGGAGGAACACCGAUGGCGAAGGCAGGUCUCUGGGCCACUACUGACGCUGAGAAGCGAAAGCAUGGGGAGCGAACAGG
rnacentral:rRNA from 1 species